GCUAUGUAUGCGGCUAUGAGAAGCCAGACGACUCCACCGGAAAUGGGAGCCCCGCCACCACCUGCUGGCCCUAUGCCACUCUUGCUACCAUUCGAAGCAUGGCUGGCUCUAUGACUCCUGGAACCGAUAGAUCACCCUUUCCUGGUGGUGGUUCCAGUCCUGCUUCACGGAGCCCCGUCACUCCGGUUUGGCAAGGUGGUCUUGGCAGUUUUGGCGGUCUUGGUGGAUUUGACGGUUUUGGUGGUGACGUUGAAGCUGGUGGCGGCGACGAUGGAAGUGCUCUUUAGGCUUUCCAUGUUUUAUACUUAUGUUCAUGAAUUUGGUGUGAUAUCUGUUGCUAUACUAUGUUGAUGGUUGCUACACUAUGUUGAUGAUAUUGAUGAAGUUUCGACGAUGAUGAUAUUGAUGUUUAGAUGAUGA